UACGGAGGGUGCAAGCGUUAUCCGGAUUCACUGGGUUUAAAGGGUGCGUAGGCGGGCAGGUAAGUCCGUGGUGAAAUCCUGCAGCUUAACUGCAGAACUGCCAUGGAUACUAUCUAUCUUGAAUGUCGUGGAGGUUAGCGGAAUAUGUCAUGUAGCGGUGAAAUGCUUAGAUAUGACAUAGAACACCCAUUGCGAAGGCAGCUAACUACGCGAUAAUUGACGCUGAUGCACGAAAGCGUGGGGAUCAAACAGG
rnacentral:rRNA from 1 species